rnacentral:rRNA from 1 species
CCCCUAGACGUUCUGGGCUGCACGCGCGCUACAAUAAUACGCACAGCGAGUAUCACCGAGCUCGAAAGGGCAAGGUAAACAAUAGAAAAGGUACUGUAAUGGUUAUAGAUCCUUGUAAUUAUUGAUCUUCAACGAGGAAUUCCUAGUAAGUAUGUGUCAUCAUCACGCACUGAUUACGUCCCUGCCCUUUGUACACACCGCCCGUCGCUCCUACCGAUUGGGUGAGCCGAUGAAACUCUCGGAUGUAGGCUAUUCAUAGCCCGCAGAAGAGAUUUGAAUCGUNGNGCUUAUNGGAAGGAGAANUCGUANCA